GCCAAGGUAACCUUUAACCCCGGGUCAAAGUCACCUUUAACCCCAUGUCAAAGUCACCUUUAACCCCGGGUCAAAGUCACCUUUAACCCUAGGUCAAAGUCACAUUUAACCCCGGGCCAAGGUCACCUUUAACCCCGGAUCAAAGUAACCUUUAACCCCGGGUCAAAGUCACCUUUAACCCCAUGUCAAAGUCACCUUUAACCCCGGGUCAAAGUCACCUUUAACCCUAGGUCAAAGUCCCCUUUAACCCUGGG